rnacentral:rRNA from 1 species
UACGUAGGCGGAAACUUAAGUCAGUAGUGAAAUCCUGCAGCUUAACUGUAGAACUGUUAUUGAUACUGGUUUUCUUGAAUAUAGUUGAGGUAGGCGGAAUGUGUAAUGUAGCGGUGAAAUGCUUAGAUAUUACACAGAACACCGAUUGCGAAGGCAGCUUACUAAGCUAUGAUUGACGCUGAGGUACGAAAGCGUGGGGAGCGAACAGGAUUAGAUACCCUGGUAGUCC